GGGUCAUAUAGUUUUUGCUAUUUUUACCUAUCUAUGGGGGGGGGGGGGUCGGCUUAUUAACGAAAGGGCUAAUGAACGAGUGUAUACGCAAUAAAUUUAUCACA